rnacentral:tRNA from 1 species
CAGAGAAUAGUUUAAUUUAAGAUAUUAAUUUUGGAGAUUAAUGAUAAAAGGUUUCUUUUUUCUCUGA